rnacentral:rRNA from 1 species
CUACGGGGGGCAGCAGUGGGGAAUAUUGGACAAUGGGCGAAAGCCUGAUCCAGCCAUGCCGCGUGUGUGAAGAAGGCCUUCGGGUUGUAAAGCACUUUCAGUGGGGAAGAAAGCCUUGGGGCUAAUACCCUCGAGGAAGGACAUCACCCACAGAAGAAGCACCGGCUAACUCCGUGCCAGCAGCCGCGGUAAUACGGAGUGUGCGAGCGUUAAUCGGAAUUACUGGGCGUAAAGCGCGCGUAGGCGGUCUGAUAAGCCGGUUGUGAAAGCCCCGGGCUCAACCUGGGAACGGCAUCCGGAACUGUCAGGCUAGAGUGCAGGAGAGGAAGGUAGAAUUCCCGGUGUAGCGGUGAAAUGCGUAGAGAUCGGGAGGAAUACCAGUGGCGAAGGCGGCCUUCUGGACUGACACUGACGCUGAGGUGCGAAAGCGUGGGUAGCAAACAGGAUUAGAUACCCUAGUAGUC